rnacentral:rRNA from 1 species
AUGGCUAGUUCUAAAGUAAUGUGGGUGUUCUGCCUCCUAGCUUUACUGGCUUUCACUUCUUGUUCUUAUCAUGUACGAGCAGAAGAUCAUGCCACCAAGGAGAAAAAUGAGGUGAUGGAGUAUUGCAAGAGGUACAUAUUCAAAAAUUAUGGCGAUCAGUUUCCUGACCCCCACAGGAAAUGUUGCCAAACAGUAAGAGAAUCAAGACACAUCCAUGCUAUGUGCCAGAAAUUCACGCACGCGGAUUUGCAUAAGAUCAGUCUAGCCAAGUGGGCUCAUGUUACAUAUUGGUUUCAUCGUUCCAGAUUAUAG